GAUGAACGCUAGCUACAGGCUUAACACAUGCAAGUCGAGGGGCAGCAUGGAAGUUUGCUUGCAAACUUCCGAUGGCGACCGGCGCACGGGUGAGUAACACGUAUCCAACCUGCCGAUAACUCGGGGAUAGCCUUUCGAAAGAAAGAUUAAUACCCGAUGGCAUAGUUCUUCCGCAUGGUAGAACUAUUAAAGAAUUUCGGUCAUCGAUGGGGAUGCGUUCCAUUAGCUUGUUGGCGGGGUAACGGCCCACCAAGGCAUCGAUGGAUAGGGGUUCUGAGAGGAAGGUCCCCCACAUUGGAACUGAGACACGGUCCAA
rnacentral:rRNA from 1 species